CGGGAUAUGGCGCAGUUUGGUAGCGCGCCUCGUUCGGGACGAGGAGGUCGCAGGUUCAAAUCCUGUUAUCCCGACCA
rnacentral:tRNA from 3 species